CCCCGCCUGCCUGGUUAACAUUCAAGAACCUAAGACUGAGUCUGUGACUAGUAAAGUGGAUGCUUUUGAUAACCUUCUGCCGAAAAAAGAGGGACGAACUUAUAUAAGACGAAAAACUGCAAAACCAAAAAAAGUGAACUAUUCAAGUAGUGAAAGCAGUGAUUCUGAUAAAGAAAACUCGGAGGAAGUCACAA